AAUCAGGUAACUUCCAAGAACUUGCUGCUGAUAAUCGCAUGUUUGCCAUCUGCUCGUGUUCUGGCAGAACUGCCACUGGAGAAAGUGGUUUCUCCUUCUCAGCUAUCUUCCAGAUCUCAUGUCUGUACCCCUCAGUGGCAGAAUGUGACCUGGAAGUAAAUGGGAAAAACAAUUCUGGGAAAUGCAGCCUUCUCACCUGUGAUGCAAAGCAAAACCUGGAGAGAGGCAGUGAUGACAUGGAAUUAAGAACAGACCAUCUGGCAAAAUGAACUCAAGGGCUUGGAGCUUUGUGAAUGUCCAUCAGGAUUUCCUACAUGCAGGUGCCAAGAUGCUCUACUAAAGGGAUACCCCUCACCUGUGCUCUUCCAGCACUACCUGGCCAGGUCAACAGAAGACAAAAGAAGAAGAUGGCCACCAAUUCAAGGAGAGAGGCCUCAGAAGAAACCAAACUUGCCAACAUCAUCAUCCUGGACCUCUAGCCUCCAGAUCUAUGUGCAGCUGAAUCUAACUCCAAUGGAUUCACCUACUAAAUGGAAAUCAAAAUGUUCCUUAAAGAAUCACUCAAGGAUACCGGCCUGUAAGUAGGAAGCUGCUCUUAGGAGAGAACAGCACGAUGGCAUUUCCAACAAUGGUGAAAACAAAGAGGACCCACAGAGUUAUCAACUGCUCAGUCUGUGAGAAACAAAGCAACACAAAACUGGUGUAUCAGUGAGGACCAGGGUACUUUACAGAAUGCAAGGCUCAGGCUUUGGUGUUGAAAUGUCUUCCUCUUGGUCUCCUAUCCCCACCUGUCAAAGCUCUACUCUCAAGAGAACAAAGACACAGUGGUCCUUAUUUAUACUGGCAGCAGUGUAAAUUGA